UGGGGAAUAUUGCACAAUGGGCGCAAGCCUGAUGCAGCCAUGCCGCGUGUGUGAAGAAGGCCUUCGGGUUGUAAAGUACUUUCAGUCGGGAGGAAGGUGGUAAGGUUAAUAACCUUGGCAAUUGACGUUACCGACAGAAGAAGCACCGGCUAACUCCGUGCCAGCAGCCGCGGUAAUACGGAGGGUGCAAGCGUUAAUCGGAAUUACUGGGCGUAAAGCGCACGCAGGCGGUUGAUUGAGUCAGAUGUGAAAUCCCCGGGCUUAACCCGGGAAUUGCAUCUGAUACUGGUCAGCUAGAGUCUUGUAGAGGGGGGUAGAAUUCCAUGUGUAGCGGUGAAAUGCGUAGAGAUGUGGAGGAAUACCGGUGGCGAAGGCGGCCCCCUGGCCAAAGACUGACGCUCAGGUGCGAAAGCGUGGGGAGCAAACAGG
rnacentral:rRNA from 1 species